CAAUUGAUUGAUGGUGCUUGCACCUGAUUGAUUUUGGUCGCCAACGAGUGGCGGACGGGUGAGUAACACGUAGGUAACCUGCCCAGAAGCGGGGGACAACAUUUGGAAACAGAUGCUAAUACCGCAUAACAGCGUUGUUCGCAUGAACAACGCUUAAAAGAUGGCUUCUCGCUAUCACUUCUGGAUGGACCUGCGGUGCAUUAGCUUGUUGGUGGGGUAACGGCCUACCAAGGCGAUGAUGCAUAGCCGAGUUGAGAGACUGAUCGGCCACAAUGGGACUGAGACACGGCCCAUACUCCUACGGGAGGCAGCAGUAGGGAAUCUUCCACAAUGGGCGCAAGCCUGAUGGAGCAACACCGCGUGAGUGAAGAAGGGUUUCGGCUCGUAAAGCUCUGUUGUUAAAGAAGAACACGUAUGAGAGUAACUGUUCAUACGUUGACGGUAUUUAACCAGAAAGUCACGGCUAACUACGUGCCAGCAGCCGCGGUAAUACGUAGGUGGCAAGCGUUAUCCGGAUUUAUUGGGCGUAAAGAGAGUGCAGGCGGUUUUCUAAGUCUGAUGUGAAAGCCUUCGGCUUAACCGGAGAAGUGCAUCGGAAACUGGAUAACUUGAGUGCAGAAGAGGGUAGUGGAACUCCAUGUGUAGCGGUGGAAUGCGUAGAUAUAUGGAAGAACACCAGUGGCGAAGGCGGCUACCUGGUCUGCAACUGACGCUGAGACUCGAAAGCAUGGGUAGCGAACAGGAUUAGAUACCCUGGUAGUCCAUGCCGUAAACGAUGAGUGCUAGGUGUUGGAGGGUUUCCGCCCUUCAGUGCCGGAGCUAACGCAUUAAGCACUCCGCCUGGGGAGUACGACCGCAAGGUUGAAACUCAAAGGAAUUGACGGGGGCCCGCACAAGCGGUGGAGCAUGUGGUUUAAUUCGAAGCUACGCGAAGAACCUUACCAGGUCUUGACAUCUUGCGCCAACCCUAGAGAUAGGGCGUUUCCUUCGGGAACGCAAUGACAGGUGGUGCAUGGUCGUCGUCAGCUCGUGUCGUGAGAUGUUGGGUUAAGUCCCGCAACGAGCGCAACCCUUGUUACUAGUUGCCAGCAUUAAGUUGGGCACUCUAGUGAGACUGCCGGUGACAAACCGGAGGAAGGUGGGGACGACGUCAGAUCAUCAUGCCCCUUAUGACCUGGGCUACACACGUGCUACAAUGGACGGUACAACGAGUCGCGAACUCGCGAGGGCAAGCAAAUCUCUUAAAACCGUUCUCAGUUCGGACUGCAGGCUGCAACUCGCCUGCACGAAGUCGGAAUCGCUAGUAAUCGCGGAUCAGCAUGCCGCGGUGAAUACGUUCCCGGGCCUUGUACACACCGCCCGUCACACCAUGAGAGUUUGUAACACCCAAAGUCGGUGG
rnacentral:rRNA from 1 species